UGACACAGCGACGUCGCGUGGGGGAUGAAGGCUUUCGGGUUGUAAACCCCUUUUCUCAGGGAGGAAUAAUGACGGUACCUGAGGAAUAAGCCAUGGCUAACUACGUGCCAGCAGCCGCGGUAAUACGUAGGUGGCGAGCGUUAUCCGGAUUUACUGGGCGUAAAGAGGGCGCAGGCGGCUUUUCAAGUCGGAUGUAAAAUUCUCCCAGCUUAACUGGGAGGGAUCAUUCGAUACUGUUAAGCUAGAGGACAACAGGGGGAGGUGGAAUUCCCGGUGUAGUGGUGAAAUGCGUAGAUAUCGGGAGGAAUACCAGUGGCGAAGGCGGCCUCCUAGGCUGUUACUGACGCUUAAGCCCGAAGGCGUGGGGAGCAAACAGGAUUAGAUACCCUGGUAGUCCACGCUGUAAACUAUGGACACUGGGUAUAGGGAGUAUCGACCCUCUCUGUGCCGAAGCUAACGCGUUAAGUGUCCCGCCUGG
rnacentral:rRNA from 2 species